GCUUCAUAAUAGAUGUGAACUUACAAAUUGCUUAUCUCUCUUGGGAAAAAGGAAUCACCGAAUGGAAAGCUAUAUAGAGAAAGGAAGGAACGAAUGAGGAGGAAAGAGAUACAAGAGGAUAGACAAGAGAGAUAGAAAGAUGACUGAGAUCUCACUUCCAAGAUCGAUGCGGUUCUUAUUGUUGUUGUCCUUAAUUUUUGAACAAAUAUUCACAGGAUGGAGCAUAAUCACAUGGAGUUGCUACAAAAUCUUGUAAUCUGUUUGAUUUUUGUAAUGUUGUUGAUCUUGAAGUUAGGAACAUUAUGUUUUGAGUACUAGCACGAUUUAGACUUAUUAUUUUUUUAAUGACAUUUGUGUUUUAGUUAUUGAGAAUAUUGUUAUAGGAAAAGUUUGAAUUGAAGUAAAGAUGUUGUGUUUUACAUUUA